rnacentral:tRNA from 1 species
GUCAGUGUACCCGAGCGGUCUAAGGGGGUAGACUCAAGUUUUACUGUGUUCGCACUGCGUGGUUUCAAAUCCCACCGCUGACA